rnacentral:rRNA from 1 species
CGAAAGCUUGCUUUUGAUGGGCGUCGACCGGCGCACGGGUGAGUAACGCGUAUCCAACCUGCCCACCACUUGGGGAUAACCUUGCGAAAGUAAGACUAAUACCCAAUGAUAUCUCUAGAAGACAUCUGAAAGAGAUUAAAGAUUUAUCGGUGAUGGAUGGGGAUGCGUCUGAUUAGCUUGUUGGCGGGGUAACGGCCCACCAGGGCGACGAUCAGUAGGGGUUCUGAGAGGAAGGUCCCCCACAUUGGAACUGAGACACGGUCCAAACUCCUACGGGAGGCAGCAGUGAGGAAUAUUGGUCAAUGGACGAGAGUCUGAACCAGCCAAGUAGCGUGCAGGAAGACGGCCCUAUGGGUUGUAAACUGCUUUUAUAAGGGAAUAAAGUGAGUCUCGUGAGACUUUUUGCAUGUACCUUAUGAAUAAGGACCGGCUAAUUCCGUGCCAGCAGCCGCGGUAAUACGGAAGGUCCGGGCGUUAUCCGGAUUUAUUGGGUUUAAAGGGAGCGUAGGCCGGAGAUUAAGCGUGUUGUGAAAUGUAGACGCUCAACGUCUGCACUGCAGCGCGAACUGGUCUUCUUGAGUACGCACAACGUGGGCGGAAUUCGUGGUGUAGCGGUGAAAUGCUUAGAUAUCACGAAGAACUCCGAUUGCGAAGGCAGCUCACGGGAGCGCAACUGACGCUGAAGCUCGAAAGUGCGGGUAUCG